CGGACUAGGAGUAGUAUGCAACCAAACGUAAAAGGAAAAUGCUGGAAGAAUUUUCGCCCAAGGCACGAAUCCUCCAAUGGCCACCACCGGACCCCAUCACCGACGGUCCAUCACACGGCGAUCGGAGCUUCAGGGCUUCCACAGGAUGGUGGUCUCGGCGAUCAUGGAGGUGACCACGUAGGGGUCCAUGUUGGACGCCGGCCGGCGGUCCUCGAAGUAGCCCUUGCCGUUCUGCUCCGUCUCCCGGCCCACGCGCACCGACGCGCCACGGUUUGCC
rnacentral:lncRNA from 1 species